rnacentral:lncRNA from 1 species
GAGAGGUAGCAGAAGCGUGGGUGGAGAGGUUGCCUCUUCACAUUGUGAAUAACAAGAAGGAGAGAAAGCUUGUGGAUGAGUGGAACAAGGUUAGCUAUCCAGCCACCCUCUGCAGAACUGAAACCAGGCUGCAAAGAAAGUGCCUCAAGUUGACUUUUUCCUGUAACCUGGGUUGGAGACAGCCAGCUGUUCUUGAAAGCCUUCUCAGUGGCUGAAGCCUGGAAGCAGUAACAUAUGAAACAAUGUUCUCGUCUCAGCUGAAUUAAAGUACAUCCUCUUUGGCAUGAAGAUAAGUGGGGAAGAGACUUGUUCUUCCUUUGGGGAGAGACUAAGAUAAUAUGCAAUAUUCUUUCAUUUUUUUGGCUGGCUUCUCACCGAGUUGUUUGCAUCCUGCUGAAGUGUCCUGUAACUGAGAUGUAAAUAAUUCAGCUCCACCUUUAAGGGACCUUCUUUGACCAUCCAAAGGGCUCUGCAGAAAUAGUCCAUCACGUGCCCUGAUAUAUGGAGGAAGUGUUGAGCAAGAGUUGCAACUAGCCACAUGCCUUAGAGAACAGCAGCAGCACCAACGCGAGGGUGUCCAGCACGUCUCCCAGAGUCCGUGACAGGAAAGUCUAAGCCCUAAGAAACUUUGAGCGAAUUUUCAGGGAAGUCGGAUGUUUCCCCAGCCUGGCAGUAAGGACUGAGAAGUAUGGGGAUGUUCCUCUUGCCUGACCGGGAAGGGGAAACAGCCCUAUUAGACUUGUCAAGUGAUCCUAAAUGCGUCAAAUUUUGGAUGCUCCGUUCAAAAUGCCAUGGAGAAGUCGCACCAUUCCUUCUGUUCGGCAAGUGGAGAAACCUCGUGCUUCAAAGUGUGCUGGGCUGGACUUCAGCAGUCACUCGUGAAGGUCCUGAUGGCUGGGAGGUCGUCAUCAGCUUGAGAUGGCUGCGGGAGUCGAGGGCUGAGGGGAGCCUCCUGCUUCUUUGGCUGCGGGUUGCAGUCACACCCUCGGACGAUCCUUUUCUCGCAGGUUGAUACCUGUGAGAACACAUAUGUCCUUGGAAUACAUAACUUUUGUUUCUAAAACCCGCGGGCCUCUCCAGAGUAACCUGACACAGUGGAGCCAGCAGUUGAUUUUUGGUCUUUUCUGUAAUGUCAUCCAUUCACAGCCCUGAUAUCAUGACUCUGAAUAAAACAUAUUUCAAGUUGAAGUGUAUCCUUAUA